AGACCUGCUCAGAGUCACCAGUGAGUUGGGCAGAGGCAAGACAGAGUCAAGUCUUCAAGGUAUCUCCAGAGGUCCUUCCGGCUUCCCGUGACAGGUCAAUAAAUUGUACAUGGCUUAAAGAUGAAGACUGUGGGGGCCAGGGAGACAGUUCAGUUGAGAGGUCCCGGAGCUUACCAGGAAGAUGUCCCCUGGUGCCUGACCAGGACAGAUAAGAAGACUAAUCGAGGUCUAGGGGUGUGGAAUGAAAGCACCUGCCAAUUUCUGGACUUGUCCUGAAGAAUAAAUGAACUGAAGAGAGUGAAAUGCCUUCGCAUACUUUUAAUCCCAGCCCUCAGGAGGCAGAGGCAGGUGGAUCUCUGUGAGUUCGAGACCAGCCUGGUCUACAAGAGCUAGUGCCUGGUCUACAAGAGAGUGAAGUGCCUGACUACAUGCAUGCUGGAGAUACUCAAAAGUGACGCUGCUGGGAAGGUGGCUUAAUGUGCAAAGUGUUUAUCUUGCAAGCUUGAGGACUUUCAAGCUCAACACCCAGAACCCACAUGUUGCAAAGGGGGGGUGGGGUGGAGAGAGGGC